UUUAUUUGCAUAUCUUCUUGUUAGGUUUAGGUUAGACGCUAUUUUAUCCGACGGUCGCGUCGUAAGGUAGCCGGCAACCAAUACUGACGCAUACGCUAACAGCCCACGCGGACGCCUACAAAUAUAGGCAGAAUUCACGGUGUGGUACCGACAGUUUUUUCCCGAAUAUCUUGGAAAUUAAGACCAAGCGGCGAUUUUACGUAUAGGAAAACGUUGUUCUUAAUGUUCAAUUUUACAAUAUAUACAAAGAUCAUCGAAAUCGGCGAGAUGGUAAUUAUUACCGAAAAGAGAAGGGCGAUAUACAACUUUGUAAUUGACUGAAAUAUUGCAGUUUCUGCAUAAAUUAUUAAAGAUAAAAAUAGAUAUAUCAUUAGAAUAAUGACAAUUGUCAAUUAUGCGUCGUAGAUAAUGUACGUAAAAUUAGCGCGAGAAUGUGACAACAGUACGCUUUCCCUAUCAAUUAUUUGGCAAAGAAUCAAGGCUAGUGGCUCGAUGACACACUCCCCACUUCUAUUGAAAAUUUCAUUCUACGAUCAUUCAAGAAAAUCAUUAGAAAUUAAUGUAACUUUUGUAAUAAUUACAUAUUUCGAAAACAUCAACAUAAUUCACACUGUUCGUUGUUUAGGAUUUCAAAGACAUAUAAAUACACAAAAUUUAGGAGCAAAUUAUAACUUAUAAUUUGAUUUAGAAUUAAAAUUAACAUACUUUCUUUUUUUACUUGAUGUUGUGAGUUUUACUCUCUUAGUUCCUUGUGUUAAAAAUAUAUAUAUUUAUAAUAGAUUAUUAAUUACGUUUUAAAUAAGCAUGUUUCUCGCAAAUCACUCGACAUGAAUUGGCAAGAAUUCUUGAAUAUGCUAUGCAUAUUUAACAUUUAUACGUUCGACCAAUGAACCAACGUUUAAAGGUUUCGCACGUGAAAGGAAAAAAAAUGAUUUUUCCAUAUAUGAUUCGUUCUAUAUAAGAUGAAAUAUAUUAGUUCGCUCGAGCCAAUAUGCCGACCGUGAAAAAUCAGGACAUGGUCCAUUGACGUCAACAGGGAGUCUAAAAGCUGUUAUAAGAAAAACAUGACAUUAUUAAUUACCUCGUGCUCAAGCGAAGUAGAAACGAUAGAAAGAAUAGAAUGAAGAGAACAGUUCGGCAAGAGUCCGUUGUUUCUCAAUGAGUGAACCUGCACCUCUUAUAGCGCUGAUCGUGAAAGGAUCUGUUGAACGUGUUACCGAUGAAAUCGACGAUAAAAGCACGAAAAUA